rnacentral:rRNA from 1 species
AGUGAACGCUGGCGGUAGACCUAACACAUGCAAGUCGAACGGCAGCACAGUAAGAGCUUGCUCUUACGGGUGGCGAGUGGCGGACGGGUGAGGAAUACAUCGGAAUCUACUCUUUCGUGGGGGUUAACGUAGGGAAACUUACGCCAAUACCGCAUACGACCUACGGGUGAAAGCAGGGGAUCUUCGGACCUUGCGCGAUUGAAUGAGCCGAUGUCGGAUUAGCUAGUUGGCGGGGUAAAGGCCCACCAAGGCGACGAUCCGUAGCUGGUCUGAGAGGAUGAUCAGCCACACUGGAACUGAGACACGGUCCAGACUCCUACGAGAGGCAGCAGUGGGGAAUAUUGGACAAUGGGCGCAAGCCUGAUCCAGCCAUACCGCGUGGGUGAAGGAGGCCUUCGGGUUGUAAAGCCCUUUUGUUGGGAAAGAAAAGCAGCAGGUUAAUACCCCGCUGUUCUGACGGUACCCAAAGAAUAAGCACCGGCUAACUUCGUG